GAUGAACGCUGGCGGCGUGCCUAAUACAUGCAAGUCGAGCGAACGGACGAGAAGCUUGCUUCUCUGAUGUUAGCGGCGGACGGGUGAGUAACACGUGGAUAACCUACCUAUAAGACUGGGAUAACUUCGGGAAACCGGAGCUAAUACCGGAUAAUAUUUUGAACCGCAUGGUUCAAAAGUGAAAGACGGUCUUGCUGUCACUUAUAGAUGGAUCCGCGCUGCAUUAGCUAGUUGGUAAGGUAACGGCUUACCAAGGCAACGAUGCACAGCCGACCUGAGAGGGUGAUCGGCCACACUGGAACUGAGACACGGUCCAGACUCCUACGGGAGGCAGCAGUAGGGAAUCUUCCGCAAUGGGCGAAAGCCUGACGGAGCAACGCCGCGUGAGUGAUGAAGGUCUUCGGAUCGUAAAACUCUGUUAUUAGGGAAGAACAUAUGUGUAAGUAACUGUGCACAUCUUGACGGUACCUAAUCAGAAAGCCACGGCUAACUACGUGCCAGCAGCCGCGGUAAUACGUAGGUGGCAAGCGUUAUCCGGAAUUAUUGGGCGUAAAGCGCGCGUAGGCGGUUUUUUAAGUCUGAUGUGAAAGCCCACGGCUCAACCGUGGAGGGUCAUUGGAAACUGGAAAACUUGAGUGCAGAAGAGGAAAGUGGAAUUCCAUGUGUAGCGGUGAGAUGCGCAGAGAUAUGGAGGAACACCAGUGGCGAAGGCGACUUUCUGGUCUGUAACUGACGCUGAUGUGCGAAAGCGUGGGGAUCAAACAGGAUUAGAUACCCUGGUAGUCCACGCCGUAAACGAUGAGUGCUAAGUGUUAGGGGGUUUCCGCCCCUUAGUGCUGCAGCUAACGCAUUAAGCACUCCGCCUGGGGAGUACGACCGCAAGGUUGAAACUCAAAGGAAUUGACGGGGACCCGCACAAGCGGUGGAGCAUGUGGUUUAAUUCGAAGCAACGCGAAGAACCUUACCAAAUCUUGACAUCCUUUGACAACUCUAGAGAUAGAGCUUUCCCCUUCGGGGGACAAAGUGACAGGUGGUGCAUGGUUGUCGUCAGCUCGUGUCGUGAGAUGUUGGGUUAAGUCCCGCAACGAGCGCAACCCUUAAGCUUAGUUGCCAUCAUUAAGUUGGGCACUCUAAGUUGGCUGCCGGUGACAAACCGGAGGAAGGUGGGGAUGACGUCAAAUCAUCAUGCCCCUUAUGAUUUGGGCUACACACGUGCUACAAUGGACAAUACAAAGGGCAGCGAAACCGCGAGGUCAAGCAAAUCUCAUAAAGUUGUUCUCAGUUCGGAUUGUAGUCUGCAACUCGACUACAUGAAGCUGGAAUCGCUAGUAAUCGUAGAUCAGCAUGCUACGGUGAAUACGUUCCCGGGUCU
rnacentral:rRNA from 1 species